GGUGUUUUCUUCUUGCAGAAAGCAUGUGCGUGUGUGCCUGUGCCUGAUCUCCUAAGGAAGUUGUAAAAGUCUUCUACCUAUGGAAGUAAGUUCAACGAUGCCAGCCUGCAGGGACGCAGGUCUAGAGAUGUGGAGUGUGAUGGUACCGGCCGCAGGAAUACUGCCUGAGGAAGUCAACGGUAGUGCCAUGGAAGCGGGAGGGUAUUAUUUUACAUAGCACGCAGAUUUAAUUUCAAGAUGUAUGCUGACAGCCUAUGCUACUCUCUCUGUCAUAAUAAAACAAGCAGCAAUAUGGAUACCAGAAAGAGGAGCACAGCUAGAGUUCUUUCUCCUCUUAAAUCAUUUUCCAAGGCAGUACAACACUCGCAACAUC
ensembl:lncRNA